rfam:Picea glauca, whole genome shotgun sequence.
ACAUGCCUACAACAUAGUGUUAAUUCACUAGAUCCCAUUAUAAAUCCCUAGUUAAGCAUGCUUGGGCUAGAGUAGUACUGGGAUUGGUGACCGCCCGAGAAGUCCUAGUGUUUUACAUGCC